rnacentral:rRNA from 1 species
AAUUCGCCCUUACUCCUACGGGAGGCAGCAGUGGGGAAUAUUGCACAAUGGGGGAAACCCUGAUGCAGCAACGCCGCGUGAGUGAUGAAGGCCUUCGGGUUGUAAAGCUCUGUCUUCAGGGACGAUAAUGACGGUACCUGAGGAGGAAGCCACGGCUAACUACGUGCCAGCAGCCGCGGUAAUACGUAGGUGGCAAGCGUUAAUCGGAAUUACUGGGCGUAAAGCGUGCGCAGGUGGUUUGACAAGACCGACGUGAAAGCCCCGGGCUCAACCUGGGAACUGCGUUGGUGACUGUCUGACUAGAGUGUGGCAGAGGGGGGUGGAAUUCCGCGUGUAGCAGUGAAAUGCGUAGAGAUGCGGAGGAACACCGAUGGCGAAGGCAGCCCCCUGGGCUAACACUGACACUCAUGCACGAAAGCGUGGGGAGCAAACAGGAUUAGAUACCCUGGUAGUCCACGCCCUAAACGAUGUCAACUGGUUGUUGGGGAUUUCGGUCCUUAGUAACGAAGCUAACGCGAGAAGUUGACCGCCUGGGGAGUACGGCCGCAAGGUUAAAACUCAAAGGAAUUGACGG